AUUGAACGCUGGCGGCAGGCUUAACACAUGCAAGUCGAGCGGGGUGAUGGUGCUUGCACUAUCACUUAGCGGCGGACGGGUGAGUAAUGCUUAGGAAUCUGCCUAUUAGUGGGGGACAACAUCUCGAAAGGGAUGCUAAUACCGCAUACGUCCUACGGGAGAAAGCAGGGGAUCACUUGUGACCUUGCGCUAAUAGAUGAGCCUAAGUCGGAUUAGCUGGUUGGUGGGGUAAAGGCCUACCAAGGCGACGAUCUGUAGCGGGUCUGAGAGGAUGAUCCGCAACACUGGGACUGAGACACGGCCCAGACUCCUACAGGAGGCAGCAGUGGGGAAUAUGGGACAAUGGGGGGAACCCUGAUCCAGCCAUGCCGCGUGUGUGAAGAAGGCCUUAUGGUUGUAAAGCACUUUAAGCGAGGAGGAGGCUCUUUUGGUUAAUACCCAAGAUGAGUGGACGUUACUCGCAGAAUAAGCACCGGCUAACUCUGUGCCAGCCGCCGCAGUAA
rnacentral:rRNA from 1 species